rnacentral:rRNA from 1 species
UACGGAGGGUGCGAGCGUUGUCCGGAAUCACUGGGCGUAAAGGGCGCGUAGGCGGCUUCUCAAGCGUGUGGUGAAAGUCCGGGGCUCAACCCCGGAUCGGCCGUGCGGACUGGGGAGCUCGAGUUCUGUAGAGGCGGGUGGAAUUCCGGGUGUAGCGGUGGAAUGCGUAGAGAUCCGGAAGAACACCGGUGGCGAAGGCGGCCUGCUGGGCAGUUGCUGACACUGAGGCGCGACAGCGUGGGGAGCAAACAGG